rnacentral:rRNA from 1 species
AUUGAACGCUGACGGCAGGCCUAACACAUGCAAGUCGAGCGAGUGGCGGACGGGUGAGUAAUGUCUGGGAAACUGCCUGAUGGAGGGGGAUAACUACUGGAAACGGUAGCUAAUACCGCAUACCAUCAGAUGUGCCCAGAUGGGAUUAGCUAGUAUGUGGGGUAAUGGCUCACCUAGGCGACGCUCCCUAGCUGGUCUGAGAGGAUGACCAGCCACACUGGAACUGAGACACGGUCCAGACUCCUACGGGAGGAAGCAGUGGUGAAUAUUGCACAAGGGGCGCAAGCCUGAUGAAGCCAUGCCGAGUGUAUGAAGAAGGCCUUCGGGUUGUAAAGUACUUUCAGCGGGGAGGCGUUACCCGCAGAAGAAGCACCGGCUAACUCCGUGCCAGCAGCCGCGGUAAUUC